rnacentral:lncRNA from 1 species
GCGUCUUCUUUUCUAAAAUAAACAAGGCAUUUCGUGCGGUUCUUCGUGGUCCCGCUAGCAAGGUCUUAAGCAAACUACAGAUACGAGAGAUUGACUUCGGUAACGACUUCGUGAGCGUCAACAAGAUGGCAGUGGAAAGUGUCACUCUACAUGAGAUUUGGAAGACAAUAGAGGAGCUGGACAUGUUCUGCAGCUUCGAGUACCCGGGUGGCUUCUCCAUUGGCAUUGACGCUGAGCUCAGCAUGGGAGCACUGGCGUCCGUGGUCAUCAAGGUUCAACACUUAGCAAUCAAAGGCCGCCUGCAAUUUUCCCGGAAGCCAUACACCCACUGGUCCUU